UACGGAGGGGGCUAGCGUUGUUCGGAAUUACUGGGCGUAAAGCGCGCGUAGGCGGACCUGCAAGUCGGGGGUGAAAGCCCGAGGCUCAACCUCGGAACUGCCUUCGAUACUGCGGGUCUCGAGUCCGGGAGAGGUGAGUGGAAUUGCGAGUGUAGAGGUGAAAUUCGUAGAUAUUCGCAAGAACACCAGUGGCGAAGGCGGCUCACUGGCCCGGUACUGACGCUGAGGUGCGAAAGCGUGGGGAGCAAACAGG
rnacentral:rRNA from 1 species